rnacentral:rRNA from 1 species
GCGACGCUGGCGGCGUGCCUCAUACAUGCAAGUCGAACGAACUCUGGUAUUGAUUGGUGCUUGCAUCAUGAUUUACAUUUGAGUGAGUGGCGAACUGGUGAGUAACACGUGGGAAACCUGCCCAGAAGCGGGGGAUAACACCUGGAAACAGAUGCUAAUACCGCAUAACAACUUGGACCGCAUGGUCCGAGUUUGAAAGAUGGCUUCGGCUAUCACUUUUGGAUGGUCCCGCGGCGUAUUAGCUAGAUGGUGGGGUAACGGCUCACCAUGGCAAUGAUACGUAGCCGACCUGAGAGGGUAAUCGGCCACAUUGGGACUGAGACACGGCCCAAACUCCUACGGGAGGCAGCAGUAGGGAAUCUUCCACAAUGGACGAAAGUCUGAUGGAGCAACGCCGCGUGAGUGAAGAAGGGUUUCGGCUCGUAAAACUCUGUUGUUAAAGAAGAACAUAUCUGAGAGUAACUGUUCAGGUAUUGACGGUAUUUAACCAGAAAGCCACGGCUAACUACGUGCCANCAGCCGCGGUAAUACGUAGGUGGCAAGCGUUGUCCGGAUUUAUUGGGCGUAAAGCGAGCGCANGCGGUUUUUUAAGUCUGAUGUGAAAGCCUUCNGCUCACCCNAANAANUGCNUCNNAAACUGNNAACCUUGANNGC